rnacentral:tRNA from 1 species
GCGGGCGUAGUAUAGCGGCUAUUAUUUCUCCCUUCCAAGGAGAAGAGGGCGGUUCGAAUCCGCUCGCCCGCUCCA